ACUCCUACGGGAGGCAGCAGUAGGGAAUCUUCCACAAUGGACGAAAGUCUGAUGGAGCAACGCCGCGUGAGUGAAGAAGGGUUUCGGCUCGUAAAACUCUGUUGUUAAAGAAAGAACAUAUCUGAGAGUAACUGUUCAGGUAUUGACGGUAUUUAACCAGAAAGCCACGGCUAACUACGUGCCAGCAGCCGCGGUAAUACGUAGGUGGCAAGCGUUGUCCGGAUUUAUUGGGCGUAAAGCGAGCGCAGGCGGUUUUUAAGUCUGAUGUGAAAGCCUUCGGCUCAACCGAAGAAGUGCAUCGGAAACUGGGAAACUUGAGUGCAGAAGAGGACAGUGGAACUCCAUGUGUAGCGGUGAAAUGCGUAGAUAUAUGGAAGAACACCAGUGGCGAAGGCGGCUGUCUGGUCUGUAACUGACGCUGAGGCUCGAAAGUAUGGGUAGCAAACAGGAUUAGAUACCCU
rnacentral:rRNA from 1 species